GACGAACGCUGGCGGCGUGCUUAACACAUGCAAGUCGAACGGAAAGGCCCUGCUUUUGUGGGGUGCUCGAGUGGCGAACGGGUGAGUAACACGUGAGUAACCUGCCCUUGACUUUGGGAUAACUUCAGGAAACUGGGGCUAAUACCGGAUAGGAGCUCCUGCUGCAUGGUGGGGGUUGGAAAGUUUCGGCGGUUGGGGAUGGAGGCGCGGCUUAUCAGCUUGUUGGUGGGGUAGUGGCUUACCAAGGCUUUGACGGGUAGCCGGCCUGAGAGGGUGACCGGCCACAUUGGGCAUGGGGAGGCACCAGGACUCAAUAGGGGAGAAGGGGGGGGAGAUUUUUCCAAAGGGGCGGAGGCGGUGAAGAAGACCGCCGGGUGGGGAAGGCCGGCUUUCGGGAUAGAAACGCAUUUCGCCUAUAACGAGCCGUGCUGACGGUAAAUGGAGAAAAAGGAACCGCUAAAUUCGGG
rnacentral:rRNA from 1 species